GCUAGUCUCAGCUAACAUAGCUAAAAUAGCCAAACUUUUGUUAUCAGUAAAUCAGCGGUAGUUUUUUAUAUAAUUUUGCUGUAAUAUUUUUGUAUAUCUUUGUUAUACAUACCAUGGAAAUAAAACACACAGAUCAUUCCUUUUUGAUGGUCAUGUACAGUGGCUUCAAGUCUUCUGAGAUGCCGUUUGUAGGACUUUAUCUGAUAUAUUUCUGAAGUGCAAUCUCUCUUGGUGCAUUUUUUGAUUGUACAGUGAAAAGGUUUUUUUUUAAUUGUAUUGUGCAAACCUGUUGGUCAAUUUGUCAAAACUGCUGCAUCAAAAAAAAAAAAAAUUAGACACUAGAGUGUUUUAAACUUUUGCCUCUCCAUUGGUAUAUGAUCAAAUUUAGAUAUAGUUUAACUUGUACUUAAAAUCUCAGCUUUUCUGAAAGGCUUAAAAUUGGUACAUGUACAUGCAUUUUGUGAAUUUAUGAAUAAUGUAUACCUGUAUCUGUAAUAUAGCAUGCUAUGAAGUGUACUAGUAUAUACAAAAUCUUCUGUAUACCUGUAUUAAUUAAGGUGUUUGUACCACUCUGCGCUUUGUUUUCCGUGUGAUGCCUGUAUUUUAUGUUUGGUGCUGCAUGCUCUAUGCAAUUAGAGGUUUGAUGGACAGAGAGAGAGGGAGAGUGAGACGACCGAUUGUGGCCACACCUUCUGUGUAAUUUCCUUGUCUCUGAUGUCAUUUUCUUUAUCUGUCACUAAAUAAAUGUGUACAUGAUC
rnacentral:misc_RNA from 1 species